rnacentral:tRNA from 1 species
UGGGGUGUAGCUCAGUGUUAGAGUACUUGCCUUACAUGGAUGAGGCACUGGGCUCAAUUCUCAGCACCACAU